UACGUAGGGGGCAAGCGUUGUCCGGAUUUAUUGGGCGUAAAGAGCGUGUAGGCGGCCAGACAGGUCCGUUGUGAAAACUCGAGGCUCAACCUCGAGACGCCGAUGGAAACCGUUUGGCUAGAGUCCGGAAGAGGAGAGUGGAAUUCCCGGUGUAGCGGUGAAAUGCGCAGAUAUCGGGAAGAACACCCGUGGCUAAGGCGGCUCUCUAGUACGGUACCGACGCUGAGACGCGAAAGCGUGGGGAGCGAACAGG
rnacentral:rRNA from 1 species